rnacentral:misc_RNA from 1 species
ACUGGGGGGACUCUGGCGGGAGUUUCUAGGUUUCUGCAGGAAAAGAAUUCAAAUAUCAAGUGCUUUCUCAUAGAUCCUCCUGGCUCUGGUUUGUUUAAUAAGGUAAAAAGAGGGGUCAUGUACACUAAAGAGGAGGCUGAAGGGAAAAGGCUAAAGAAUCCAUUUGACACAAUAACAGAAGGGGGAAUUAACAGGGUAACACAGAAUUUUAUUAUGGCAAAACUUGAUGGUGCUUUUAGAGGCACAGAUAAGGAGGCUGUUGAAAUGUCAAGGUAUCUUUUAAAUAAUGAUGGUCUCUUUCUGGGGAGCUCUUCAGCCAUGAAUUGUGUGGGGGCUGUUAGAGUUGCACAGUCAAUUGGCCCUGGUCACACAAUUGUAACCAUUCUAUGCGAUAGUGGGAUGAGGCAUCUUAGUAAGUUCUAUAAUGCCGAUUAUCUGUCAGAGCAUGGUUUGACGCCAACAGCAACUCGUUUAGAGUUUCUUGGCAUCAAAUGAAAGAUUUGGGCUGCUUAAGAUCUUUGUUCAGAGUUAAAGAAGUAUAAUGCAACCAUGUUCAUUUGCAAAGUUCUGUUAAGGCUCUCCUCUGAAUUUUGGGCUGUGACAUUAAUUAAGAUUGAUCACCAUUUUUUUAUACAAGGGUUAGGACAUUACUUGUUACAGAAUAGGGCAUACAA